rnacentral:sRNA from 1 species
GAUCAAACUAUAAGACGUGGGAGUUGGCGAAUAACUACCGAAUCGGAAUAUUGCCUUGUCGCAAGAUCCAUAUUCGCUGCGACGU